ensembl:snRNA U6 U6 spliceosomal RNA
GUGCUCACUUCGGCAGCACAUAUAUACUAAAAUUGGAGCAAUACAGAGAAGAUUAACAUGGCCCCUUUAUAAGGAGGACAAGGCAAAUUUGUGCAGUGUUCUAUAUUUAA